rnacentral:lncRNA from 1 species
CACUCAGCUUUCUGAAAUGGUGUCCCACCGCAAGGACUGGAGAAGGGCACCCUUGGAAAUGCAAUGCUACAUCUCAAUGGGAUUUUCCAGUACAAAGAUUCUUUUCAAAUAACAUAAUUGUGGAUACACACCACUCCUACAGUGGUAAACCUCAGGUUCUCCUCCUGCCUUUUGCUAAGUAUAUGUCUUGAUGACAAGCCUUCUGCUGAUGAGCUGUGUUUCUGGACCGAUCAUGGUAGAAGUCAAUUAACGUGUCCCUCACUUGGGGUUUCUCAAGGGAGUCUCACUCUGUCGUCCAGGCUGGAGUGCAGUGGCACAAUCUCGGCUCACUGCAAGCUCCGCCUCCCAGGUUCACGCCAUUCUCCUGCCUCAGUCUCCCAACUGCACUGAUGAGGAAACUGAAACAGAAAAUCCAGAGUAAAUUCCACCAGGCCACACAGCAAGGUCUGAUAGAGCCAGGAGAGACUUUAUGAAAUCCAGACUCUCACACUAAUGCUCUAUCAGCUAGACCUCCAUGUGAGUCUCCCCAAUGUAGGUAGGAAGUGCUUUCCCUAAAAUGCUCAUAAAGCAAAUCAGAGCAAUGCUGCAUUCCAUGUGAUUUCUAAUUUGAAAUGCAAACAAUUGCCAAUUUGUUUGACUUGUAUUUAUAAUUAUUUCCUUGUGAAUUACUCAUCACUAAAUGCUUUAUAAAUAUUUUCUCUUUUUUUCCUCAAUGUCUAUGGAAUGAUCACAGCAUAGAAAA